GACGAACGCUGGCGGCGUGCUUAACACAUGCAAGUGGAGCGACGAACCGGGGCUUGCCCCGGGGCAGAGCCGCGAACGGGUGAGUAACACGUGGGUAACCCACCUCGAUGACCGGGACAACCCGAGGAAACUCGGGCUAAUACCGGAUGUGAUCCGUCCCCUCAAGGGGACGAAUGAAAGAUAGCUUCGGCCUUCGCAUCGAGACGGGCCCGCGGCCCAUUAGCUUGUUGGUGGGGUAAUGGCCUACCAAGGCUUCGAUGGGUAGCUGGUCUGAGAGGACGAUCAGCCACACUGGGACUGAGACACGGCCCAGACUCCUACGGGAGGCAGCAGUGGGGAAUCUUGCGCAAUGCGCGAAAGCGUGACGCAGCAACGCCGCGUGGGGGAAGACGGCCUUCGGGUUGUAAACCCCUUUCAGUUGGGACGAAGCUUCGACGGUGAAUAGCCGGCUGGAGUGACGGUACCUUCAGAAGAAGCCCCGGCUAACUACGUGCCAGCAGCCGCAGUAAUAC
rnacentral:rRNA from 1 species